UACGGAGGGUGCGAGCGUUGUCCGGAAUCACUGGGCGUAAAGGGCGCGUAGGCGGCCGUGUAAGUCACCUGUGAAAUCCCGGGGCUCAACUCCGGGGCUGCAGGUGAGACUGCGUGGCUAGAGCACGGUAGAGGCGAGUGGAAUUCCCGGUGUAGCGGUGGAAUGCGUAGAUAUCGGGAAGAACACCGGUGGCGAAGGCGGCUCGCUGGGCCGUUGCUGACGCUGAGGCGCGAAAGCGUGGGGAGCAAACAGG
rnacentral:rRNA from 1 species